rnacentral:rRNA from 1 species
GACGAACGCUGGCGGCGUGCUUAACACAUGCCAGUCGAACGGAAAGGCCCUGCUUUUGUGUGGUGCUCGAGUGGCGAACGGGUGAGUAACACGUGAGUAACCUGCCCUUGACUUUGGGAUAACUUCAGGAAACUGGGGCUAAUACCGGAUAGGAGCUCCUGCUGCAUGGUGGGGGUUGGAAAGUUUCGGCGGUUGGGGAUGGACUCGCGGCUUAUCAGCUUGUUGGUGGGGUAGUGGCUUACCAAGGCUUUGACGGGUAGCCGGCCUGAGAGGGUGACCGGCCACAAUGGGACUGAGAGACGGCCCAGACUCCUACGGGAGGCAGCAGUGGGGAAUAUUGCACAAUGGGCGGAAGCCUGAUGCAGCAACGCCGCGUGCGGGACGACGGCCUUCGGGUUGUAAACCGCUUUCGCCUGUGACGAAGCGUGAGUGACGGUAAUGGGUAAAGAAGCACCGGCUAACUACGUG